GCCGCCUUGGUGUAACUGGCAACACGUCCGCCCGAUUAGCGGAAGAUUCCGGGUUCAACUCCUGGAGGCGGCA
rnacentral:tRNA from 1 species